rnacentral:rRNA from 1 species
UGCGUAGGUGGCCAGGUAAGUUUGGUGUGAAAGCUCGGAGCUUAACUUCGAAAAGGCAUUGAAUACUACUUGGCUGGAGGAUCGGAGGGGAGACUGGAAUUCUCGGUGUAGCAGUGAAAUGCGUAGAUAUCGAGAGGAACACCAGUGGCGAAGGCGAGUCUCUGGACGAAUCCUGACACUGAGGCACGAAAGCUAGGGGAGCAAACA